GAGAAACAUAAAGUUCAUAACGUGUACAGGAACACACAAUCAUUGAAAUAAAAGAAAUUUCCUUGUUUAACGCGAAGAAUUUGCAUUGGCAAUGUAGAGACCGUUUGUCUUCUAUUAGUGAUAAUUGAUUUUUCAUGGCAGCGAUACGAUACUUACUCACUCAGUUGUCGUUUGACAUCAUGGGUGCAAAGGAGAGCAUUUUGAGCGCGGAACAACUAGAAGAGUACGUUGAAUUAACUUUCCUGACAAAAUGGGAAGUACAAUUAAUCUUGGAAAAAAUCUCGAGUCUUGCAACGGAUGAAAUAAGUGCAAAUCUGCAUCAACGCUUUUCUACUCGACAAAUUAUGGAUGCUUUUCCUCAACUUAAGUAUAAUCCUUUUCGCGAUCGUUUGUUCGAGUUAUUUUCCUCUGCAUGCGACACUCGAUGUUCAUUCGAGGAUAUUCUGGACAUGUUCAGUGUCAUGUCCGAAAACUGUCCACAAAGUGUAAAGGCAGCGUGGGCUUUUCGGGUUUUCGAUGUAGACAACGAUAACAUGAUUACUAAAGAGGAUAUCUACCUGAUAUGUGAUCGUUUAACGAAGUAUGAUCAACUGGAAGAUGCCGAAAAAGAAACCAUUGCCGAAGUGAUUCUCAAAGAAAUAGAUCUUCAAAAUAACGGCAGCCUGGGCGAAUUUGAGUUUGUACAUGUGAUAUCUAAAGUUCCCGAGUUCCAUAAUACAUUCUCGUUCAAACCCUGAUAACUACUUGGGGAUUUAGGAAAUUUAAUUUAAGCAUGGUUCAGCUCGUGCUUUCGUCUACUCUUUUUUGUCCAACUUUAUUUUAAAUCUAUGUAUAUAAGGACUGUCGCAACUUAACUGAGCAGCCCAUUAUUUACAAUAUUAUCCAUCAACAUGAUCGACAGAAUACCAUUACAAGGGAGCGACGUCGCCAAGCGUUUACGGUUCAGUGUUAUCGCCGUGGGAGCUGAAAGAAAUAUUCAACGAUAUGAGAAAAAUGUAACGAAGCUUCAAUUUUAGUUAAAAUUACACUUGCGUUCUUCAUUUGGGUUCGCAACAGCACCGGCAAAGGUUUUCAAUUGUGAGUUCGCUAAAAAUUUAUUAGUAAUGACAGACAAACAAAUUAUAACCUCAAGGAAAUUUAUCGUAUUUUUUUCUUUACCUAGAUUUUUUUGAUUUUCAAUUAAACACUACUCAGCAAAUUCUAUGAACAUAAAACCGACAAGAUAUUUUUUUAAUGAAUCAAAACAAGUGAUAUGCAAACUUGUGUUUGCUUGUUUGGAUAAGAAUAAUGGAUGCAUAACGGAAUUUGAGUUCUGUAAAAAUAACACAAAAAAAAAAGAUUUGUUCUUUUUUAAUCUUAGCAAAAACAAAUU